AUGAUCUACGAUUUCUGCUUCAACGCUCAACUUAUCAAGUCAACAAAUGUUCACUUUCAGGUAUAUGUCUAUUCAAUGCCGCGCCUCUGUUCCCCUCUUCCAAAAGUUUGCUUGAUCGCGCCCACGCCAUGGCCGCCAUGCUCCUUUUUGCUCUGCCUGUCAACCAGAUCGGCCGAUGAGGCGGAUGCCUGGAGGCGGUGGACCAUGGAGGAAAGGAGGUCAUCCAUGGUGCACGCAUCCACCACACUCGCUCGUCUUUUCCUCCUCGGCUCUGCGGACGCCGGGUGCUCGGGCAUGGCCGCCGGCCCGCCGCCACGCCCCGCUACUGCUGACCUUCAUCAAAAGCGGAUAACUGAGGGCUCUUCUGUUAUCAAGCUGCAUCUUUUUUGUGCCAACAGUUGCAAGUUAACUUAUUAA
rnacentral:rRNA from 1 species